rnacentral:rRNA from 1 species
CUAGCGACUUCAGAGUUUGAUCCUGGCUCGGGACGAACGCUGGCGGCGUGCUUAACACAUGCAAGUCGAACGGAGCACUUCGGUGCUUAGUGGCGAACGGGUGAGUAACGCGUGAGGAACCUGCCUUCCAGUGGGGGACAACAGUUGGAAACGACUGCUAAUACCGCAUAAUACUAUUAAGUGGCAUCACUUGAUAGUCAAAGAUUUAUUGCUGAAAGAUGGCCUCGCGUCUGAUUAGCUAGUUGGUGGGGUAACGGCCCACCAAGGCGACGAUCAGUAGCCGGACUGAGAGGUUGACCGGCCACAUUGGGACUGAGAUACGGCCCAG